rnacentral:rRNA from 1 species
UACGAGAGGCCCAAACGUUAUUCGGAAUUACUGGGCUUAAAGAGUUCGUAGGCGGCGCAGAAAGUGGGGUGUGAAAGCCCUCGGCUCAACCGAGGAAUUGCGCUCCAAACUACUGUACUAGAGGAAGCUAGAGGUGAGCAGAACAGAUGGUGGAGCGGUGAAAUGCGUUGAUAUCAUCUGGAAUACCGGAGGCGAAGGCGGCUCACUACACGAAUAUUGACACUGAGGCACGAAAGCGUGGGGAUCAAACAGG